AAAAGGGGAUGUCCAGGAACUGAAGUCACUAAGCCAUCCUCCUCAGCUGGUUAAAGACCUCCUGACAGUGACACUCCUCCUGCUGGGCUACCCAGAGAAAGAGGCUGAGAACUAUAAGGUAUGCCUGCGUGUGAUGGCUGGUGCGGGGAAGGAUGGUCUACAGCAGCAGAUGGAGAACAUGGACGCCAGCUCCAUACCCCCGGACACUGUGGCCAAAGCCAGGACAAUGCUCCAGGAAUGCUCACUAGAAAGAGUUGUGACUGUGUCAGCAGCAGCAGGUGGCCUUUACACAUGGGCGACAAAGAUGAUAGCCUAAGUUGCAGUUCAUCGGAGAUCAUCAUUUACACACCAUCUGAUAUACAAA